CCAAGUGGGAUAUUUUUGCGUGUGUAUUAGUGAAAAUCUUAGGAUUAGUUACUUGUAGAUGUAUACAAUGCUCUAAAAGAGUGAUUUUUUAGAGAAAUAUUACCACCAAAGUUGAACCGUUCUCACGACAGUCAGGUCUGCGUAACCGGAACGGAGCCGGAUUUUAUUCGGCCAAGGACUAUCAACUCGGCACAAUUAUGUCGCUACAACAAUCACCAGAGCUGUAUUUCAUUCAAAUUACAAUGAAUUUAGUUCAAUUAAUAUUACUACGUUGGCAUACAACACUGCAUUGCUAUCACUGUAAAAUAAAGAUGGCCGCUAUUCACCUCCAGAAAUGUCAUAAUGAAAAGGUUUACUUCUAUAGUCUCGUGGAGCACAAUUUAUAACACAUUUUCUGCAAUAACUUAUCGUACAAUUAAAAAAUGGAAAUUACCCGUGAAUCUUCUUUCGAUGAUGAGGAUUUUAGAAAGAUUACCGAGAAUAAUUACCAAAGAAUCCGCACCAAAUUAGCUAAAGUAAGAACCACAAUUACAAACACAUCACAGUAAGAUAUUAGGUAUGCCGAUGGUGUGUCAGAUGGAAAAGAAGAAACAGUACAAAUGGCCUUUAACAAAGGAUACUCGGAUGGGUUGCGUACGGGUUUCGAACUUGAGAAAUAUAAUGCGCUUUCUCUAAAUUUGGAAAUUUAUAAUGAAGAAAUAUUUAAAGACUUGUAACCGAACCAUCUCUAUAUGACUUUAUAGUACACAUUGCGACAGAUAUAAAACAUACUCACGCGGCUAAUAAAAGUCCAGAAUGCCUGAAUACGGUUUACCAACUUUAAAAUUGUUAUUUAAAAUAAUUCUGAAGCAAAUAAUUGUAAGCAAACCCUUCCUUUAACAACUAAUUUAUUAUGUUCACAAAAUGUAGAUUAGAUAUUUAUGUGUUAUUUUAAGAAAUAAAUGGUUUUAUAAAUACAA